rnacentral:rRNA from 1 species
UACGUAGGGUGCAAGCGUUGUCCGGAAUUAUUGGGCGUAAAGAGCUCGUAGGCGGUUUGUUGCGUCGGCUGUGAAAUCCCGAGGCUCAACCUCGGGCCUGCAGUCGAUACGAGCAAACUAGAGUGUUGCAGGGGAGACUGGAAUUCCUGGUGUAGCGGUGAAAUGCGCAGAUAUCAGGAGGAACACCGGUGGCGAAGGCGGGUCACUGGGCCGCAACUGACGCUGAGGAGCGAAAGCAUGGGGAGCGAACAGG